GAGGGAACUGGAUACAGAAAGCAGGUCCUUUGGUAUUGCCACCGAUACAACUUGAUGAUGCUGUUUCCAUUUAGGAUUAUGUUUUUAUAGAAGGUACAAAUUUAUUAAUCCAUUACUUGAAUUUUGUACUUGUCUACUUGGUCUCAAUUUUUUCAUUUGUCUUAAUCCCAUCAUUAUUCUCCAGGAUGGUUCUUAUUAAAUUUUAAUGUCAGAGCUCUUAAUUUCAGCAUAUGCAUUCGGUGGUCCUCUUAUGUUAACUUUAUAUAGUUCCCUGCAGGACUAUGUUACGGGGAUUUGGUGACUUACUCAUGGCAGAGAAAAUUUGAUGCCAUUUUGGGA
rnacentral:misc_RNA from 1 species